AGUCUGGUGCCAGCAGCCGCGGUAAUACAUAUGAUGCAAGCGUUAUCCGGAAUGAUUGGGCGUAAAGCGUCUGUAGGUGGUUUAAAAAGUCAACUGUUAAAUAUUAAGGCUUAACCUUAAGCAGGCAGUUGAAACUUUUAGACUAGAGUAUGGCAGAGGUAGAGGGAAUUACUGGUGUAACGGUGAAAUGUGCAGAUAUCAGUAAGAACACCUAUGGCGAAAGCACUCUACUGGACCAAAACUGACACUCAGAGACGAAAGCUAGGGGAGCGAAUAGGAUUAGAUACCCCUGUAGUCCUAGCUGUAAACGAUGGAUACUAGGCGUUGCUUGUAUCGACCCGAGCAGUGCCGAAGCCAACGCGUUAAGUAUCCCGCCUGGGGAGUACGCACGCAAGUGUGAAACUCAAAGGAAUUGACGGGGGCCCGCACAAGCGGUGGAGUAUGUGGUUUAAUUCGAUGCAACGCGAAGAACCUUACCAGGACUUGACAUGUCGCGAAUCUCCUUGAAAGAGGAGAGUGCCUUAGGGAGCGCGAACACAGGUGGUGCAUGGCCGUUC
rnacentral:rRNA from 1 species